CAGUAAACGGCCCAGCCUAUCUCAAGAAGAGCUGGGAGGAAGGGGGUGGCAAUACUGAACUUCGCAGACCUUCCCCGGAAGGAAUUCUAGCUGCCCGGGAUGCUUGGUUGAACCCAGAGAUCUUAGCUUCUUCGCCAUAACCAGGAUCUACUGUCCUUCAUGAGCUUAUAGGUUUCCCGGACGCGCAGCUGAGCCGAAAGCACCUUCUGUUCAAGGUCAAGGAAAGAGAGAGGAUGACCAACCAGCAGAGGCGGUAGGGCAGAUGGCGAGCAGACGAGCCUGGAUCGUCACCAGCAACCAAGCAAGAUCCGAGGUGGUUCUGCCUUGGAGACACUCCUUGCCCGCCUACGGCUGACAACUUGUCCCUUCGCCACCGAAACGCAUGAGUGAGUCAGGAAUUCGCAGCUGACGACCGGGAUCCUGCUAAACCUUGGUCUGAUGGAUGCCUCUGCCACCCCCUGCAUCGCGGGCUCGUAGCACGGGUUCUCUAGACCCCACCUCCGAGGCUGAAAGUAGUACGUGUUAUGGACCCCUGACCCUUUUCUCCUCCGCCUCCUCCUCCUCUUCUCUGUUGGGACCAGCGUUCGGGAGAAGAUUAGAAGCUGGAAGAGUUGGAAUCCUUCCAAAAUAACGACGAUAAUAUCGAGUUCGGGAACAGAUGCUUUCAGAAGCAAGUUAUCUAAGGGAGAACUAAGGCGUGAUAUCGUGGCAUAAAAUAAUCUUUGUAAACUA